rnacentral:rRNA from 1 species
AAGUCGUAACAAGGUCUCCGUUGGUGAACCAGCGGAGGGAUCAUUACCGAGUUUUAAACUCACCAACCCACUGUGAACAUACCUACGUUGCUUCGGCGGCGGGCUUCGGCCCCCGCCGGGGACCCAAACACUAUUUUUAACCGAUACCUCUGAGUAAAAAACAAAUAAAUCAAAACCUUUAACAACGGAUCUCUUGGCUCUGGCAUCGAUGAAGAACGCAGCGAAAUGCGAAAAGUAAUGUGAAUUGCAGAAUUCAGUGAAUCAUCGAAUCUUUGAACGCACAUUGCGCCCGCUGGAACUCCGGCGGGCAUGCCUGUCCGAGCGUCAUUUCAACCCCUCAGGCCCCCCUUCCGGGGGCGGGCCUGGUGUUGGGGCUCGGCCGCUACCCCGCGGCCGUCCCCUAAAUGCAGUGGCGGCCUCGCCGCAAUCCCUUGCGUAGUACUAUACCUCGCACCGGAGCGCGACGCGGCCACGCCGUAAAACCCCCAAUUUUCAAUGGUUGACCUCGGAUCAGGUAGGAAUACCCGCUGAACUUAAGCAUAUCAAUAAGCGGAGGAAAAGAAACCAACAGGGAUUGCCUCAGUAACGGCGAGUGAAGCGGCAACAGCUCAAAUUUGAAAUCUGGCCCCCGGGUCCGAGUUGUAAUUUGCAGAGGAUGCUUUUGGUGAAGUGCUUUCCGAGUCCCUUGGAACAGGGCGCCAUAGAGGGUGAGAGCCCCGUCUGGUCAUGCACUGAGCCUCUGUAAAGCUCCUUCGACGAGUCGAGUAGUUUGGGAAUGCUGCUCUAAAUGGGAGGUGUAUGUCUUCUAAAGCUAAAUACCGGCCAGAGACCGAUAGCGCACAAGUAGAGUGAUCGAAAGAUGAAAAGUACUCUGAAGAGAGAGUUAAAUAGCACGUGAAAUUGUUAAAGGGGAAGCGUUUAUGACCAGACUUGAGGCCGGCCGAUCAUCCAGCGUUCUCGCUGGUGCACUCGGUCGGUUUUAGGCCAGCAUCGGUUCGCGCCGGGGGAUAAAGGUUUCGGGAAUGUAGCUCCUUCGGGAGUGUUAUAGACCGUUGCGUAAUACCCUGGGGCGGACCGAGGAACGCGCUUCGGCACGGAUGCUGGCGUAAUGGUCACCAACGACC